GACGAACGCUGGCGGCGUGCUUAACACAUGCAAGUCGAACGGAAAGACCCUGCUUUUGUGGGGUGCUCGAGUGGCGAACAGGUGAGUAACACGCGAGUAUCCUGCCCUUGACUUUGGGAUAACUUCAGGAAAAUGGGGCUAAUACCGGAUAGGAGCUCCUGAUGCAUGGGGGGCGUUGGAAAGUGUCGGCGGUUGGGGAUCGAAUAGCGGCUUAUGAGCUUGUUUGUGGGGUAGGGGCUUACCAAGGCUAUGACGGGUAGCCGGCCUGGGAGGGUGACCGGCCACAUUGCGCCUGAGAUACGGCCCAGUCUCCUACGGUCGGCAGCAGUGGGGAAUCUUGCACAAUGGGCGGAAGCCUGUUGCAGCGACGCCGCGUGCGUAAUGACGGCCUUCGGGUUGUAAACAGCUGUCGCAUGUGACGAAGCCUGAGUGACGGUAACGGGUAAAGAAGCACCGGCUAACUACGUG
rnacentral:rRNA from 1 species